AGCUUGUUUGAAUGGCAAGACAGAUGUAGUGAAAUUUUUACUCGAUAAUAAAGCAGCCAUUACCACAGAUAAAGUUUCUUAUUUUGACGAAAUGAUUAGUAAUAGAAAUAAAGAUACAGCAAUGGUGAUGAUGUGCCAUGAAAGAUGGAAAGACAUAAUGGAAACAACAAAGGAUGGUCCUGAAGCAACGAUGAAAACGUUGAUUUCCCAAGGUAUGUCCGAAGUGGCAUAUCAAGCUCUCGUUAACAGCGAGACACGUAUAGGUGAUUCAUAGAGUAAGGAUUACAAAAUUGAAUACGACUUUAUGUGUUUACAGAAUAAUAACGCUACAGCAAAUGUGGAGCCGCUGACUGCCAUUGAAGCGAUGGUGAAAAGUGGCAGCUCCAAAUGUUUACAGCAUCCUGUCUGCUGUAAAUAUCUGAAAGAAAAAUGGAAGGCAUUUGGAUUCAAAGUUUAUUUGGUUGGAUUUUUAAUUUAUGUCGUAUUUCUGGUUUCUCUAAACGUUUAUGCGUUCAAAAUUCCUUCAUACGAAGAGUCAAUUAAUAAUCAAGGUCAGAAAGACUUACUUAAGGCUGAUUAUUUACAUGAUCCCGGGUAGUCAGGAUUCAGCCAAACGUUGAAUUAUUCUGACAAAUGGAAACGAUUCAAUACUUAUCCUCAGAUAAAUCUACUUUUGCAUUUUCAAAAUACUCUGAUUUAUUAACUACCCAAAACAUUUAAAAUGAACACAACCAGUUUGGCCUAAUUUGAGAAUUCCAACAGGAAUGUGGUGCUUAAAAAAAAUUGUAAUUUUUUAGCUUGAAGUUUUACCUCCUUUUAAUGCCUCAAAAAUCAUU